AUUGGGUUUAAAGGGUCCGUAGGUGGAUUAAUAAGUCAGAGGUGAAAGCCUGCAGCUUAACUGUAGAACUGCCUUUGAUACUGUUAAUCUUGAAUUAUUGUGAAGUAGUUAGAAUAUGUAGUGUAGCGGUGAAAUGCAUAGAUAUUACAUAGAAUACCGAUUGCGAAGGCAGAUUACUAACAAUAUAUUGACACUGAUGGACGAAAGCGUGGGGAGCGAACAGGAUUAGAUACCCUGGUAGUCCACGCCGUAAACGAUGGUCACUAGCUGUUCGGACUUCGGUCUGAGUGGCUAAGCGAAAGUGAUAAGUGACCCACCUGGGGAGUACGUUCGCAAGAAUGAAACUCAAAGGAAUUGACGGGGGCCCGCACAAGCGGUGGAGCAUGUGGUUUAAUUCGAUGCAACGCGAAGAACCUUACCUACACUUGACAUCCAGAGAACUUUCUAGAGAUAGAUUGGUGCCUUCGGGAACUCUGAGACAGGUGCUGCAUGGCU
rnacentral:rRNA from 1 species